UCCCUGGUGGCUCAGAUGGUAUGGUAAAGUGUCUGCUUGCAAUGCAGGCGACCCAGGUUCAAUGCCUGGCUCGGGAA
rnacentral:tRNA from 1 species